rnacentral:rRNA from 1 species
UUUUAACGGAGAGUUUGAUUCUGGCUCAGAACGAACGCUGGCGGCGUGGAUAAGACAUGCAAGUCGAGCGAGAUUUUUUCCUGUAGCAAUAUAGGGAAAAGUCUAGCGGCGAACGGGUGCUUAACACGUGGGCAACCUGCCG